GACGAACGCUGGCGGCGUGCUUAACACAUGCAAGUCGAACGGAAAGGCCCUGCUUUUGUGGGGUGCUCGAGUGGCGAACGGGUGAGUAACACGUGAGUAACCUGCCCUUGACUUUGGGAUAACUUCAGGAAACUGGGGCUAAUACCGGAUAGGAGCUCCUGCUGCAUGGUGGGGGUUGGAAAGUUUCGGCGGUUGGGGAUGGACUCGCGGCUUAUCAGCUUGUUGGUGGGGUAGUGGCUUACCAAGGCUUUGACGGGUAGCCGGCCUGAGAGGGUGACCGGCCACAUUGGGACUGGGUUACGGCCCAGACUCCUACGGGAGGCAGCAGUGGGGAAUAUUGCACAAUGGGCGGAAGCCUGAUGCAGCAACGCCGCGGGCGGGAUGACGGCCUUCGGGUUGUAAACCGCUUUCGCCUGUGACGAAGCGUGAGUGACGGUAAUGGGUAAAGAAGCACCGGCUAACUACGU
rnacentral:rRNA from 1 species